AGAUUGAACGCUGGCGGCAUGCCUUACACAUGCAAGUCGAACGGCAGCACGGGAGCAAUCCUGGUGGCGAGUGGCGAACGGGUGAGUAAUACAUCGGAACGUGCCCAAUCGUGGGGGAUAACGCAGCGAAAGCUGUGCUAAUACCGCAUAAGAUCUACGGAUGAAAGCAGGGGAUCGUAAGACCUUGCGCGAAUGGAGCGGCCGAUGGCAGAUUAGGUAGUUGGUGAGGUAAAGGCUACACCAAGGCCUUCGAAUCUAGUAGCGUGGUCUGAGAGGACGACCGAGCCACACUGGGACUGAGACACGGCCCAGACCUCUACGGGAGCAGCAGUAGGGGUAAUUUUAGGACAAGUGGGACCGAAAGGCCUAGACUACCGAGACCCAA
rnacentral:rRNA from 1 species